CCCCCCCCCCCCCCCCCCCCCGCCGCGGUAAUACGGAAGGUCCGGGCGUUAUCCGGAUUUAUUGGGUUUAAAGGGAGCGUAGGCCGGAGAUUAAGCGUGUUGUGAAAUGUAGACGCUCAACGUCUGCACUGCAGCGCGAACUGGUUUCCUUGAGUACGCACAAAGUGGGCGGAAUUCGUGGUGUAGCGGUGAAAUGCUUAGAUAUCACGAAGAACUCCGAUUGCGAAGGCAGCUCACUGGAGCGCAACUGACGCUGAAGCUCGAAAGUGCGGGUAUCGAACAGG
rnacentral:rRNA from 1 species